AAGAGAGCUUAAUGGGCUUAAGUUUCGUUGUGUUCCUUUCGCUAAAAAUUCAAAUCAAAGUCUAACUGUUAAAAUAUGGCAAAAGUAAAUCAGAACACUUUAGACUUUCGAAGCUGACGGUUGAUUUUUAAAAAAGAAAAAAAGCGUUCUUAUUCUGUACAUCUAUAGUUAAUUGUUACAUAGUAUAAGGAAAAAAUUAAAUAAAACAACAAGAAAUACUAGUAACAAAGGAAACGGAAACGGUGCGGUUAGAAAGCAAAAAUAUAAAUAAUAUGUAUAUAACAACCAUAUAAACGAAUUAAUAUUGUAUUUAUUUAGGCGUGAGUGUGUGUAUGAAACGAAAACAACAGCUGUAUUUGUGAAUGUUGGUUAAAAAGUGUCUAUGAGAGUGUACAUGUAUGUAUGUACAUACAUAUGCUUGUAUAGAAUGUGUUACCAAUAAAUAUGUAAAUUUUUUGGCAACAAGAAAAAAAGUGGUUUACCUUUAUAGAUAGAUUGGUAGUUAAAAAAAGCAAUGGAAAUAUAAAGUAAAUGAAAUACAUACAACAAAAUAAAAAUGAAAAAUAAUAGAAAUUCUUUAAAAGUAAAUGAAAUGUAAAAAUUAAUAUCUUUAGUAAGUUCAAAUGAGGUUUUCAAUAUGGCCAAGUAUGUCAAAAGAAAAUUAAAUUUAAACACGUUGUGUAAUAAACCAGAAAAACUUUAAUAAAUUAAGUAAAAUAAUGUCUAAAAUUUCAUAAUGUCUCAACCUGGUAAACGCGGAGGAAGAGGUGCGGCCGCUAAGGGAAUAGGUCGUAAUACACCCUCCUCUGUAACAAGUGGCGCGACUAGUAAUACUCCCGAUGAAUCGGUAGUGGCCAGUGACCGAAAUACUCCUGCCAGUAAAGCUGAGUCCGAUCCCAAAGAUGAUAGUUCGAGUAAUGGCGAUCGUAAAGAAAUCGAUGGCGCUCCUACACCAAAGCCACCAAGUGCAGGAGCUUCCAUACGUGAGUCAGCGAAUAAAAUUUUAGCGUUAUCUAUGAAAGGAGAAUGGACGCCAGUGGAGCAAGAGUUAAAGAAAUUAGAAAAAUAUGUUGCCAAUCAAGGGGAAGAUGGGAAUACGAUACCAUUGGCUGGAAUACAUGACGUGAAUACCGGCAUGACACCUCUAAUGUUUGCCACCAAAGACAAUAAAACUUCAAUCAUGGAUCGUAUGAUUGAACUGGGAGCGGAUGUUGGUGCUAGGAAUAAUGACAAUUACAAUGUGUUGCAUAUUGCAGCCAUGUAUUCGCGUGAGGAUGUCGUAAAACUGUUGCUAAAUAAACGAGGAGUUGAUCCAUUUUCAACUGGAGGGUCUCGGGCACAGACAGCGGUGCAUUUGGUAUCGAGUCGUCAAACUGGUACAGCAACCAAUAUCUUAAGAGCUUUAUUGGCAGCAGCUGGCAAGGAUAUACGUUUAAAAGCGGACGGGAGAGGGAAAGUUCCACUCCUUUUGGCUGUAGAAGCGGGAAAUCAGUCUAUGGUUAGAGAAUUAUUGGCAGCACAAACGGCUGAUCAACUAAAGGCUACGGCAGCCAAUGGAGACACAGCCUUGCAUUUGGCUGCCAGGCGGCGGGAUGUUGAUAUGGUACGCAUAUUGGUGGACUAUGGCACUAAUGUUGAUACACAAAAUGGUGAAGGGCAAACACCUCUACACAUAGCGGCAGCUGAAGGAGAUGAAGCAUUGUUAAAGUACUUUUAUGGUGUAAGAGCAUCUGCUUCAAUAGCGGAUAAUCAAGAUCGAACUCCUAUGCAUUUGGCUGCUGAGAAUGGUCAUGCUCAUGUUAUUGAAAUUUUAGCCGAUAAAUUUAAAGCCAGUAUAUUUGAGCGAACCAAAGAUGGCAGUACAUUAAUGCAUAUUGCUUCUCUUAAUGGCCACGCAGAAUGUGCCACUAUGCUUUUCAAGAAAGGAGUUUACCUGCAUAUGCCCAAUAAAGAUGGAGCUCGUAGUAUCCAUACAGCUGCUGCUUAUGGCCAUACCGGCAUUAUUAAUACUCUCUUGCAAAAAGGGGAAAAAGUCGAUGUAACAACUAAUGAUAAUUACACAGCUUUACAUAUAGCGGUCGAAGCAUGCAAACCAGCAGUGGUUGAGACACUACUUGGUUUUGGAGCCGAUGUUCAUGUCCGGGGUGGUAAAUCUCAUGAGACUCCCUUACAUUUAGCCGCACGAGUUAAGGAUGGAGAUCGUUGUGCUUUAAUGCUCCUUAAGUCCGGUGCUAGUCCCAAUUUAACUACCGAUGAUGGCCUGACGCCGGUACAUUUUGCCGCCCGUCAUGGUAAUCUGGCAACGCUGAUGCAACUUCUCGAAGAUGGUGGCGAUCCCCUUUAUAAGUCCAAUACUGGCGAAACUCCUUUGCAUAUGGCCUGUCGCGCCUGUCAUCCUGAGAUUGUUAAACAUCUGAUUGAAACUGUGAAAGAGAAACAUGGAUCCGACAAAGCCACUUCUUACAUAAAUACCGUUAAUGAAGAUGGUGCCACUGCGCUACAUUUUACUUGCCAAAUUACUAAAGAAGAAGUUAAAAUACCCGAGUCCGAUAAAGAAAUAGUGAGUAUGUUGCUGGAGAAUGGUGCUGAUGUUACAUUGCAGACUAAAAAUGCUCUGGAAACUGCCUUCCAUUAUUGUGCGAUGGCGGGCAACAAUGACGUAUUAAUGGAAAUGAUCGCCCACAUGAAUCCGACGGACAUACAGAAGGCCAUGAACCGUCAGUCGUCCAUAGGAUGGACGCCCUUACUGAUUGCCUGUCAUAGAGGGCAUAUGGAACUGGUCAACAACCUUUUAGCGAAUCAUGCCAGAGUUGAUGUAUUCGAUAUCGAGGGUCGUUCUGCUUUGCAUUUGGCUGCCGAACGAGGGUAUCUGCAUGUAUGCGAUGCUCUAUUGACUAAUAAGGCUUUUAUCAAUUCGAAAUCUCGAGUUGGUCGCACGGCGUUACAUCUGGCCGCGAUGAACGGCUUCACUCAUCUUGUGAAGUUUCUCAUCAAGGAUCACAAUGCAGUUAUUGACAUUUUAACAUUACGCAAACAAACGCCACUUCAUCUGGCUGCGGCCAGCGGUCAGAUGGAGGUAUGUCAGCUCUUGUUAGAAUUGGGAGCUAACAUAGACGCGACCGAUGACUUGGGACAGAAACCCAUACAUGUCGCCGCGCAGAACAACUACUCAGAAGUGGCCAAAUUGUUUCUGCAGCAACAUCCAUCACUGGUAAAUGCUACUAGUAAAGAUGGAAAUACCUGUGCCCAUAUUGCUGCCAUGCAGGGUUCUGUUAAGGUGAUCGAGGAACUAAUGAAGUUCGAUCGAUCUGGCGUGAUAUCUGCUAGAAAUAAAUUGACUGACGCGACACCAUUACAAUUAGCAGCAGAAGGAGGUCAUGCAGAUGUAGUGAAGGCGUUGGUUAGAGCUGGAGCAUCAUGUACGGAGGAGAAUAAAGCCGGAUUUACAGCUGUGCAUUUGGCGGCUCAGAACGGCCAUGGCCAGGUAUUGGACGUUUUGAAAAGUACAAAUUCUUUGAGGAUCACCAGCAAGAAAUUGGGACUGACACCGUUGCAUGUGGCAGCCUACUAUGGACAGGCGGAUACGGUGCGAGAACUUCUUACUAGUGUACCGGCCACAGUAAAAUCAGAAACGCCGACAGGACAAAGUUUGUUUGGUGAGUUGGGUACAGAAUCGGGGAUGACUCCCCUACAUUUGGCAGCAUAUUCAGGCAACGAGAACGUAGUACGAUUACUGCUGAACUCAGCCGGAGUGCAGGUGGAUGCAGCUACCACAGAGAAUGGUUACAAUCCUCUUCAUUUGGCGUGCUUCGGUGGUCACAUGUCAGUGGUUGGUUUACUUCUGAGUCGCUCGGCAGAACUUCUCCAGUCUACAGAUCGCCAUGGUCGCACUGGUUUACACAUAGCUGCUAUGCAUGGUCAUUUUCAGAUGGUGGAGAUUUUGCUGGGUCAAGGCGCAGAAAUAAAUGCAACUGACAAAAAUGGUUGGACGCCACUGCAUUGUGCUGCCAAAGCCGGUCACUUAGAAGUGGUGAAACUUUUGUGUGAGGCUGGAGCCUCUCCAAAAUCUGAAACCAAUUACGGUUGUGCCCCUAUAUGGUUUGCUGCUUCCGAAGGACACAAUGACGUUCUCAGGUAUCUAAUGAAUAAGGAACAUGACACCUAUGGUUUGAUGGACGACAAACGCUUUGUAUACAACUUGAUGGUGGUCUCGAAAAAUCACAACAAUAAACCGAUACAGGAAUUUGUUUUGGUUUCGCCUGCACCCGUAGAUACAGCUGCCAAAUUAUCUAACAUUUAUAUGAUUUUAUCCACUAAGGAAAAAGAGCGUGCUAAGGAUCUAGUAGCAGCUGGCAAACAAUGUGAGGCUAUGGCGACCGAACUAUUGGCCUUAGCCGCCGGUUCUGACUCUGCGGGAAAAAUUUUACAAGCGACCGAUAAAAGAAAUGUGGAGUUUUUAGAUGUAUUAAUAGAAAAUGAACAGAAAGAGGUUAUAGCCCAUACAGUGGUACAAAGAUAUCUGCAGGAAUUGUGGCGAGGUUCCUUGACAUGGGCUUCCUGGAAAAUAUUGCUACUACUAGUAGCAUUUAUAAUCUGCCCACCCGUUUGGAUUGGUUUUACCUUUCCCAUGGGUCACAAAUUUAACAAAGUGCCUAUUAUAAAAUUUAUGUCUUACCUCACCUCGCACAUCUAUCUAAUGAUCCAUCUCAGUAUUGUGGGUAUAACUCCAAUUUAUCCGGUGCUUCGACUAAGCUUGGUCCCCUACUGGUACGAAAUAGGCCUGCUCAUUUGGUUGAGCGGUUUACUUUUGUUCGAGUUGACAAAUCCUUCAGAUAAAUCGGGAUUGGGAUCUAUAAAAUUGUUAGUGCUGCUGUUGGGAAUGGCCGGUGUUGGAGUUCAUGUAACGGCCUUCUGCUUCGUGUCCAAAGAAUAUUGGCCAACGCUUAUAUAUUGUCGCAAUCAAUGCUUUGCUUUGGCCUUCUUGCUUGCAUGUGUACAAAUUUUAGACUUCCUCUCGUUCCAUCAUCUCUUUGGGCCCUGGGCCAUUAUUAUUGGCGAUUUGCUCAAGGAUUUGGCGAGAUUUUUGGCUGUGUUAGCUAUAUUCGUUUUCGGCUUUUCUAUGCACAUAGUAGCUCUGAAUCAAUCAUUUGCCAAUUUUACUCCCGAGGAGUUAAGAUCGUUUGAAAAGAAGAAUCGUAAUCGUGGAUAUUUCAGUGACGAUGACAUGCCCACACCUCGCCCACCGCCUGCAGAGAACUAUGUUGACUCUAGUCGCAGUAUGUUGAGUGAAUUUCGCCGCAAGCAUAAAGAUGAUCUUCUAAAAUACACCCAAAUAAUAAAAAAAAAACCUUUUUUUGUUGGGAUCCAUACGCUUGCUGCGAAAAUGUUAUUCCUUAUUUGGGCUAUUGGCAUGUUGGCCUUUAUUAGGAGUGCGUGGUGUUAAAUGUUGUUUUUGUUGGUCAUUUUAUGUGUGUUUAUUUUGUGUAUACUUGAUGUUGUGGAAAAGUGUUUAUCAAAAUGUGAUAAAAAUUAUUGAAAAUAAACUGAUAAUUGAUUUUUGUUUCUUUUACAUGAAAUUUUUAAGUACAUUUUUGAAAUACAUAACAAAUAUUCGAAAAUGUAUUUUAGAUUUAAUUUAUGUAAUUAUUUUACGUUUUUAUAACUUGAGAAGAUGAACACAACAAUAGAUAUUGUAUUACUUUAUUUUUGUUGGCCCAAAAAUAACGCUUACUGAGUUCUUCGUGUUUCUUUCGUUGGUAUUUUCAUUUACAAAAGAUUAUUUUAUGUUUUUUCUUAUAUUUACUAGUAACAUCUAUAGCUCUAUCAACUCCUCCUUUAAAAAAGCAUGUUUUUUUCCAAAAGCUUUUAACUGUAGCACAAUUUCUCAAUUUUAUUUUUACAUCUUUAUUUCUUAUGCACAUUCUAUAUUAUUAUUUGGAUUUAGCUGAGUUUCAGAGUUCGGACAAAAAUUGCUUUUAAUUUAUUUCUUUUAUUACAUAACCGACCCCCGUAUUCAUAAAGAUUCUAAUCGCUUAUUUUAGGUCUACCAUCAAUAACUUUAUUAAGCAUUUAUGAAUAUGGGGGUAAUUAUAUAACAAAAAAAUUUUUACUUUUUUAGUAUUCUCCUAGUAGAAGAUACUGAUAAUAAUUGAAAUUAUUAAUUUAUGAAUUUAAUUAUUUUUAUCCAUAUGAAUUUUUCGAUCAAGUUAACCUCCACUUAAUCUUUUUAUGACAUAUGUGUGUAAAAUGCCGAAAUUUAUUUUAUUAGUAUAUUAGUAGAAAUAUGUAAUUAUAUACAUACAUAUGUUAAUAUUUUGUUAGCUUAGUACGCAAUAGUGACAAGUCCUAUUCAUUAACUACAUGAUAAGAAAAAGUUAUGAUUGUUUCGUAAGUGGUAUUGAAAAUCUAGAAAUUUUAAAAAAUAUAAAAAAGCAAAGUUAUUACGACUAAUUUCAUUUCCUCUAAAAUGUCACGGUUACGUUCUAAGCUAAUAAUUCGUUAAACGAAAACUUGUUAAAUUUUUUCGUACAGUUUAAAUAUGCGAUUCCCAAGUAAAAGAUUAAUGUAGUGUUUAGGAUAACGAUAAAAUAUAUUUAAUAUAAAUAAUUUCAAUUUAAUGGAGGAAAUAAUAGAAAAAUGUUUUAGAAUAUAUUUUCAUAAUGAUAUUUACUUUUCAGCUUUUUAUUUUUGGUGCAUGUUAUAAUUUAAUUUCAUUACUUUUCUUGGCUAUUGAUGUCGUGAUUUUUUUAUAAAAAUAAAAGAAUGUAUUACGCAUGUUGGUGUUCACUUAAGGAUUUUUAAAAUCAGAAAAGAAACAAAAAUAUCUAUACAUUUAUGUGAUAAUUCUAAUACAGGCUUAUGACGCUUUCCACACAUUCUAGCACACAAAUUAAAACAAUUAAAGCAAGCCAACGGUACAGCACCUACUGACAUUUUAAUUGUUGUCAAAAAACACACUUCAGAUCAUUAAGGAAUUUUCUAAUUAAUAAAUAUCCUACCAAUUCCUUUACUACCAAUCAUGCUCAAUUAAUUAAAUUUUCAAAUGAAUGCAAUUAAUUUGUGCAUUAAAUGAAAAUCCGUUCAAAAAAUCAAGGACCAAUGACACCUUUUUUGGCAUUUGAAAGACUGUUUUUUGCGGUUUUUGGUCAAACUACCACCGUGGAUAUAAAUCCAAUGCGCCACUUAAGACCCGAAUGGACUGAGGUCCUAUUCAAAUUUGUAUUUGGCAUCUAUCUACUAGUGUCUGUGGUUGUUCUCAUAAAUCUACUCAUUGCCAUGAUGUCGGAUACUUAUCAGCGAAUUCAGAUUCCAUGGCCUUAUCAGUGGUACACUUAUCACCGUUGGGUUCUCAAACCAGUUUUUCGGCUGCCAACCAAAAUCGCAUUGAAAACGUUGCUGACUGGGAAGCUAUUGCCAAAAAGUACCGUGCUCUCAUGGGAG